rnacentral:rRNA from 1 species
GAUGAACGCUGGCGGCGUGCCUAAUACAUGCAAGUCGAGCGAACGGACGAGAAGCUUGCUUCUCUGAUGUUAGCGGCGGACGGGUGAGUAACACGUGGAUAACCUACCUAUAAGACUGGGAUAACUUCGGGAAACCGGAGCUAAUACCGGAUAAUAUUUUGAACCGCAUGGUUCAAAAGUGAAAGACGGUCUUGCUGUCACUUAUAGAUGGAUCCGCGCUGCAUUAGCUAGUUGGUAAGGUAACGGCUUACCAAGGCAACGAUGCAUAGCCGACCUGAGAGGGUGAUCGGCCACACUGGAACUGAGACACGGUCCAGACUCCUACGGGAGGCAGCAGUAGGGAAUCUUCCGCAAUGGGCGAAAGCCUGACGGAGCAACGCCGCGUGAGUGAUGAAGGUCUUCGGAUCGUAAAACUCUGUUAUUAGGGAAGAACAUAUGUGUAAGUAACUGUGCACAUCUUGACGGUACCUAAUCAGAAAGCCACGGCUAACUACGUGCCAGCAGCCGCGGUAAUACGUAGGUGGCAAGCGUUAUCCGGAAUUAUUGGGCGUAAAGCGCGCGUAGGCGGUUCUUUAAGUCUGAUGUGAAAGCCCACGGCUCAACCGUGGAGGGUCAUUGGAAACUGGAAAACUUGAGUGCAGAAGAGGAAAGUGGAAUUCCAUGUGUAGCGGUGAAAUGCGCAGAGAUAUGGAGGAACACCAGUGGCGAAGGCGACUUUCUGGUCUGUAACUGACGCUGAUGUGCGAAAGCGUGGGGAUCAAACAGGAUUAGAUACCCUGGUAGUCCACGCCGUAAACGAUGAGUGCUAAGUGUUAGGGGGUUUCCGCCCCUUAGUGCUGCAGCUAACGCAUUAAGCACUCCGCCUGGGGAGUACGACCGCAAGGUUGAAACUCAAAGGAAUUGACGGGGACCCGCACAAGCGGUGGAGCAUGUGGUUUAAUUCGAAGCAACGCGAAGAACCUUACCAAAUCUUGACAUCCUUUGACAACUCUAGAGAUAGAGCCUUCCCCUUCGGGGGACAAAGUGACAGGUGGUGCAUGGUUGUCGUCAGCUCGUGUCGUGAGAUGUUGGGUUAAGUCCCGCAACGAGCGCAACCCUUAAGCUUAGUUGCCAUCAUUAAGUUGGGCACUCUAAGUUGACUGCCGGUGACAAACCGGAGGAAGGUGGGGAUGACGCCAAAUCAUCAUGCCCCUUAUGAUUUGGGCUACACACGUGCUACAAUGGACAAUACAAAGGGCAGCGAAACCGCGAGGUCAAGCAAAUCCCAUAAAGUUGUUCUCAGUUCGGAUUGCAGUCUGCAACUCGACUACAUGAAGCUGGAAUCGCUAGUAAUCGUAGAUCAGCAUGCUACGGUGAAUACGUUCCCGGGUCU